UCCAGACUCCUACGGGAGGCAGCAGUGGGGGAUAUUGCACAAUGGGGGGAACCCUGAUGCAGCGACGCCGCGUGGGUGAAGGAGCGUUUCGGCGCGUAAAGCCCUAUCGGCAGGGAAGAAGGAGGACGGUACCUGACUAAGAAGCCCCGGCUAACUACGUGCCAGCAGCCGCGGUAAUACGCAGGGGGCAAGCGUUAUCCGGAUUUACUGGGUGUAAAGGGGGCGCAGACGGCAGCGCAAGCCAGGAGUGAAAGCCCGGGGCCCAACCCCGGGACUGCUCUUGGAACUGCGCGGCUGGAGUGCAGGAGGGGCAGGCGGAAUUCCUGGUGUAGCGGUGAAAUGCGUAGAUAUCACGAAGAACUCCGAUUGCGAAGGCAGCUUACUAAACUGCCACUGACAUUGAUGCUCGAAAGUGUGGGUAUCAACCAGGAUUAGAUACCCUUGUAGC
rnacentral:rRNA from 1 species